UACGUAGGCAGCAAGCGUUGUUCGGAAUUACUGGGCGUAAAGAGUGUGUAGGCGGUGCUCUAAGUCUGUUGUGAAGUCUCCCGGCUUAACUGGGAGGGUGCAGCGGAAACUGGAAUGCUCGAGUAUGGGAGAGGUAAGCGGAAUUCCUGGUGUAGCGGUGAAAUGCGUAGAUAUCAGGAGGAACACCUGUGGUGUAGACAGCUUACUGGACCAUCACUGACGCUGAGACACGAAAGCGUGGGUAGCAAACAGG
rnacentral:rRNA from 1 species